CUGGGCCUCGGGGCGCAGGCGGAGGGGACGCGCGCGGGACGCCCGGGCUCGCGGGGCUCGGCGGGCGGGCGGCGGGGCCGGCGGCUCUGGGGGCGCCCGCGGACUUCCCGGCGCGCUGGGUCCAGUGGUUCUUAACAGUUCAACAGUUCUGUAGCGCAAUUGUGAAAUGUUUAGGACCACUAGCCCCGGCGGGCCCGGCGGCGGCGGCCGGACGCCCACGCGCCCCUGCGAGGAGCCAGCCGGCCCGGGCGCGGGGUCCCGGGCGGGCCGGGGCGGGCCGGGGCGGGCGGCGGGCGCGGGGACCGCGGGGUGCGCAGCGGGGCGGCCCCACCCCGCGUGCGCCGGGUCCCUCCGUACCUGGUACCUGCCGGCGGCCCGCGCUCCCCGGGCUUUCGGGCUUCCCCGGCGGGGUGAGCGGGGUGAGCCGGGCAGGGGCGCGGGGGCGCGGGGCACGCGGUUGAGAGGCGACGCCCAGGCGGUGGGGACGCCCCAGCCCCGGUGGGAGGCAGGUCGGGCGCAGCCGGGGGAGCGCGGGGAAGGGCUCGGCCUCUGGGGGAGCAGGGGUGGCUGGGGCGCCCCCCAAUCCCUGCCUCCUCCGCCCAGUGUUUAGAGGAAACACAGGGCAGCCUGGACGGCAGGUCACACGGGUCUGGGUUCGAGGUCCACCAGGCCAUGCCGCGCUGGGUGCCCUUGGGCCAGUCACCUGCUGGCCCUGAGCCCCACCUGCACAUGGGUGGGAGGGAGGGGUGGAGGUGAGGCCCAGACUGCAGGACCCCUGGCUGCCGGGAGGAGGGUCCCGCCUCCAGCCAGCACCUUCUGCUUUCGCCCAGCCAACUGCUCACCACCCGCUCCGUGGGAGCGCCCUGGAGCCCCGCGCCGCCGGGCAGAGGCCACCCUGCUCUCAGGAGUCCAGAGGCUCUUGGCAGUGAUGCUGCCCCCUGACCGCGCAGCCGGUUGGCCGUGACUUAAUACGACAGCGCUCUCCGCCAUCCGCUCGGCCCAAGUGAGACCAGGGGGUGAGGGUGGGGGUGGGGGGCUCUUCUGGGGUGUCUCCUGUUCUGUAGCUCAGAGUCAUUUUGUACAGUGUGGGCACAUGACUGAUGAAAAUAAAUGUGUGUUCAAAGCUUCACCGCGUCCCCGGGGCGGUCGGUCCUUUCCUCCCCAGACCUCAUCGUGGCCCCUCCCUCUUCCUUCCAAUCCCAGAGGAAUGGAUCGUGGGUGGGGUGGCCAGGUCCCCACCCUGGGCCCGGCCCUGUGGUCUCCCACCAAGCCCCGCUGCUGGCAUCAGCCCCUCUGAUUGGGGGGUGGGGGAUCCCUGUAGGGCCCUCGAACCCUCUCCUCUCCCACCUCCCUGAGCCAGGCCUCUGGGCCACACCGUCUCCUCUGCCCUGAGCUGCGGCCUCCUGGAGCCAGGUGGAGGAGAGGAGGCCGCUCGCAGCGUCACCCUGUCCUGGCACCCCGGCCAGCUGCCACCCCGGGCGGGCCGGAGGCUCUGGCUGUGGGUGGGGGCCAGGUUGGAGGGCUGAGGGGUUGGAGUGAUGGAGGACCCUCCUCUGCUCCCCGAUCCUGACACACACGGAGAGUCCCCGGGUCUGUGGCUUCCAAUCUCAGCUCUGCCGCCUACCAGCAGGUGACCUUGGCCAGUCCCCCUGCCUCUCAGAGCGCUCAUCCCUUCCUCCUUCUAAGAGGAGUGUUGGGACCCACCUCACAGGACUUGCUGGAAAGCCCAGGAGCCACUGCGGCCAGAGCACUGAUGUGGGACAGAGCGAGGGUUCACCCCAGAGAUGGCAUUACCUCAUGGGCGGGUUGGUAUGGGGGGCCCACAGGUGGCAGUGGGCCGGGGGCUCGCAAUCGGCCCCCUCGAUCCCUGGGGCCUCCAAGACAGGCAGCUCCUACUUUGGGUCCCAGGAGUCAUUCUCUUUAGUGACAGAAGCCCCUGGGCUGUCAGCGGGAGGCUCUGCGCAGAGCAAGGUGACAGGAGAGGCAUCCGGCCCCCCGGGGACACUCGCCCCCCUUCCUCCUUGCCCUGUCCCCCCAGAACCCGGCCUGCGGUGCUGAGCCUGCUCUAGCUGUGCACACAGAGGGCCUCCCCGGACAUGGUCGCAGGAAUCAUCCUGGCUUGCCGGGGACUUUCUGGUUCUAGCGCCCAAAGUCUCAUGGCCUAGGAGACCCCCUCCGUCUGGGCAACCUGACACAGUUGGUGGCUCUGCCUGGGACCGGCUCGGCAGACACAGCCCCAGCUCCUGGGACGGCUGACGGCCUGUCUUCCGCAGAGAAAUAAACUUGUGUCUCGUUAAAGCCGCGGUUAUUUCCGUCUCUAUCAAAGUAGCUAAACCAGUAUUCCGAGUC
rnacentral:lncRNA from 1 species